rnacentral:rRNA from 1 species
UACAGAGGGUGCAAGCGUUGUUCGGAAUUAUUGGGCGUAAAGGGCGCGUAGGCGGUGCGGCAAGUCUGUAGUGAAAUCUCUGGGCUCAACUCAGAGUCUGCUGCAGAAACUGCCGUGCUUGAGUGUGGGAGAGGUGAGUGGAAUUCCUGGUGUAGCGGUGAAAUGCGUAGAUAUCAGGAGGAACACCUGUGGCGAAAGCGGCUCACUGGACCACAACUGACGCUGAGGCGCGAAAGCUAGGGGAGCAAACAGG